UACAGGGGGUGCAAACGUUGCUCGGAAUCAUUGGGCGUAAAGCGCACGUAGGCGGUUCGUUAUGUCGGAUGUGAAAGCCCUUGGCUUAACCGAGGAAGUGCAUCCGAAACUGGCGAGCUAGAGUACUAAAGAGGAUCGCGGAAUUCCUGGUGUAGCGGUGAAAUGCGCAGAUAUCAGGAGGAACACCGGUAGCGGAAGGCGGGUCUCUGGGCCGAUACUGACGCUGAGGAGCGAAAGCGUGGGGAGCGAACAGG
rnacentral:rRNA from 1 species